rnacentral:rRNA from 1 species
CACGUAGGAGGCGAGCGUUGUCCGGAAUCAUUGGGCGUAAAGAGCGCGCAGGCGGCUUGGCAAGUCGGGUGUGAAAGCCCGGGGCUCAACCCCGGGUCGGCCGUGCGGACUGGCGGGCUCGAGCACUGUAGGGGCGGGUGGAAUUCCGGGUGUAGCGGUGAAAUGCGUAGAUAUCUGGAGGAACACCGGUGGCGAAGGCGGCAUCCUGGACCGAGACUGACACUGAGGAGCGAAAGCCAGGGGAGCAAACGGG